rnacentral:rRNA from 1 species
GUCUACGGCCAUACCACCCUGAACGCGCCCCAUCGUCUGAUCUCGGAAGCUAGCAGGGUCGGGCCUGGUUAGUACUUGGAUGGGAGACUGCCUGGGUAUACCGGAUGCUGUAGGCU